rnacentral:rRNA from 1 species
AUUGAACGCUGGCGGAAUGCUUUACACAUGCAAGUCGAACGGUAGAGGGGGCAACCCCUCGAGAGUGGCGAACGGGUGAGUAAUAUAUCGGAACGUGCCCAGUCGUGGGGGAUAACGUAGCGAAAGUUACGCUAAUACCGCAUACGAUCUAAGGAUGAAAGCGGGGGAUCGCAAGACCUCGCGCGAUUGGAGCGGCCGAUAUCAGAUUAGGUAGUUGGUGGGGUAAAGGCUCACCAAGCCAACGAUCUGUAGCUGGUCUGAGAGGACGACCAGCCACACUGGAACUGAGACACGGUCCAGACUCCUACGGGAGGCAGCAGUGGGGAAUUUUGGACAAUGGACGCAAGUCUGAUCCAGCCAUUCCGCGUGCAGGAUGAAGGCCCUCGGGUUGUAAACUGCUUUUGUACGGAACGAAAAGGUCUCUCUUAAUACGGGGGGCUCAUGACGGUACCGUAAGAAUAAGCACCGGCUAACUACGUGCCAGCCGCCGCGGUAA